rnacentral:rRNA from 1 species
GACGAACGCUGGCGGCGUGCUUAACACAUGCAAGUCGAGCGGUAAGGCCCUUUCGGGGUACGACGAGCGGCGAACGGGUGAGUAACACGUGGGUGACCUGCCCUUACGCUCUGGGAGUAAGCCUGGGAAACGUGGGUCGUAAUACCGGAUAUGACUCCAUGACGCAUGUUGUGGGGUGGAAAGCCUUGUGCGGCUAGGGA